rnacentral:ncRNA from 1 species
ACGGUCCUUUCGAGGCGGUGCGGAUGAAAAGGGAACCAGGUGAGAGUCCUGGACAGUCCCGCUGCUGUAAGUUCCAUGUCAGGUGUUGCCCUAUUCGUUGGCCACUGGCUUCCUCUACGGAAGCUGGGAAGGCGAGGGCAGCCGGAACAAGUCAGAAGACCUGCCAUGCCUUG